GAUCAUGGCUCAGGACGAACGCUGGCGGCGUGCCUAAUACAUGCAAGUAGAACGCUGAAGGAGAAGCUUGCUUCUCUGGAUGAGUUGCGAACGGGUGAGUAACGCGUAGGUAACCUGCCUGGUAGCGGGGGAUAACUAUUGGAAACGAUAGCUAAUACCGCAUAACAGUAGAUGUUGCAUGACAUUUGCUAAAGGUGCAAUUGCAUCACUACCAGAUGG
rnacentral:rRNA from 1 species